AAAUNCGGCCUUAGCGCGGUGGUCCCACCUGACCCCAUGCCGAACUCAGAAGUGAAACGCCGUAGCGCCGAUGGUAGUGUGGGGUCUCCCCAUGCGAGAGUAGGGAACUGCCAGGC
rnacentral:rRNA from 1 species